rnacentral:rRNA from 1 species
CAGGGAAUCUUGCGCAAUGGGCGAAAGCCUGACGCAGCGACACCGCGUGGAGGAUGAAGGUCUUAGGAUUGUAAACUCCUUUUAUCAGGGAAGAGGAAGGACGGUACCUGAUGAAUAAGGUUCGGCUAACUACGUGCCAGCAGCCGCGGUAAUACGUAGGAACCGAGCGUUGUCCGAAUUUACUGGGCGUAAAGAGCGCGUAGGUGGUUCGUUAAGUCUCAUGUGUAAUCUCCCGGCUCAACUGGGAGGGGUCAUGGGAUACUGGCAGACUUGAGGGUAGCAGAGGAAAGCGGAAUUCCCGGAGUAGUGGUGAAAUGCGUAGAUACCGGGAGGAACACCAGAGGCGAAGGCGGCUUUCUGGGCUAUUCCUGACACUGAGGCGCGAAAGCGUGGGGAGCGAACCGG